AAUGCGAUAAGUAAUGUGAAUUGCAGAAUUCAGUGAAUCAUCGAAUCUUUGAACGCACCUUGCGCCCCUUGGUAUUCCGAGGGGCACACCUGUUUGAGUGUCGUG
rnacentral:rRNA from 1 species